CCUUCGGGAGNNUCUUAAUGGCGAANGGGUGAGUAACACGUGGGCAAUCUGCCCUUCACUCUGGGACAAGCCCUGGAAACGGGGUCUAAUACCGGAUACGACCUCCGACCGCAUGGUCUGGUGGUGGAAAGCUCCGGCGGUGAAGGAUGAGCCCGCGGCCUAUCAGCUUGUUGGUGGGGUGAUGGCCUACCAAGGCGACGACGGGUAGCCGGCCUGAGAGGGCGACCGGCCACACUGGGACUGAGACACGGCCCAGACUCCUACGGGAGGCAGCAGUGGGGAAUAUUGCACAAUGGGCGAAAGCCUGAUGCACCGACGCCGCGUGAGGGAUGACGGCCUUCGGGUUGUAAACCUCUUUCAGCAGGAAAGAAGCUAGAGUGACGGUACCUGCANAACAAGCGCCGGCUAACUACGUGCCAGCAGCCGCGGUAAUACGUAGGGCGCAAGCGUUGUCCGGAAUUAUUGGGCGUAGAGAUCUCGGAGGCGGCUUGUCACGUCGGAUGUGAAACCCGGGGCUUAACCNCGGGUCUGUAUUCCAUACGGGCNGCUAGACUUCGGUAGGGGANAUCGGAAUUCCUGGUGUAGCGGUGAACUGCGCAGAUAUCANGANGAACCUGGUGGCGAANGCAAUCUCUGGAACGAUACUGACNCUGAGNANCNAAAGCGGGGGGCGAANANA
rnacentral:rRNA from 1 species